rnacentral:tRNA from 7 species
AAAAUCCGUCGACUUUAAAAAUCGUGAGGGUUCGUCCCUCUAUCCCCA